rnacentral:rRNA from 1 species
GAUUUGUCUGGUUAAUUCCGAUAACGAACGAGACUCUAGCCUAUUAAAUAGUCGGUAAAUCCUUUGUUUACUGUACUUCUUAGAGGGACAGAAGGCGUCUAGCCUUACGAGAUUGAGCAAUAACAGGUCUGUGAUGCCCUUAGAUGUUCGGGGCUGCACGCGCGCUACACUGAAGGAUUCAACGUGAUUUUUCACCUGUUCUGGAAAGAAUGGGUAACCCGUUGAAACUCCUUCGUGAUUGGGAUAGGGGCUUGUAAUUAUUCCCCUUGAACGAGGAAUUCCUAGUAAGUGCGGGUCAUCAUCUCGCGUUGAUUACGUCCCUGCCCUUUGUA